rnacentral:rRNA from 1 species
AUGGUGUGUGUGAAAUCAGUGAAAUAUUCGGUCAAAUUCAAUGGACAAUUGCUUGAGAGUUUCAUUCCCUCUAGAGGAUUAAGGCAAGGUGAUCCUUUAUUGCCGUUCUUAUUUCUUUUUGUUGCUGAUGCCCUUUCUGCUAUGUUAUCUAAAUCAGUUGAGGAAGGCUCGCUAAAGGGGGUGGCUAUAUGUCGUGGUGCACCGGUUAUCUCCCACCUGUUAUUUGUAGAUGAUACUAUGGUGCUUUUUGAGGUGUCUGGCGAGCAAGCGAGCAUUGUUAAGGGGUUGCUGAACACUUAUAGUUCUGCGACGGGUCAACUUAUUAACCCAGAAAAGUGUUCCAUCCUUUUUUCUGACAAUUGCUCUGAUGCGGUGGCGGAUGAAGUCAAAAGUACCCUCGAGGUUACGCAACAGGUGUUUGAGCCAAAGUACCUCGGCCUUCCGGUGCCAGAGGGAAGAGUGCAUAAGGGACAAUUUGAAUCUCUUCGGGAGAGGUUGAGGAAGAGAUUAAUUGAUUGGAGUGAACACUUUGUCUCGUCGGGGAACAAAGAAAUUUUGAUCAAGGUAGUGGCGCAAGCUAUACCUACAUAUGUCAUGAGUGUGUUUCGGCUACCGGCACUUGUUUGCGAUGAUUUAACGCGUAUGAUGAGGCAAUACUGGUGGGGAGUGGAGAAUGGUAAAAGGAAAAUGGCGUGGCUCAGUUGGGAGAAAAUGAUCUUGCCCAAGGAUAUGGGAGGAAUGGGUUUUAGAGAUAUGAGAUCCUUCAAUAAGGCGCUACUCGCGAAGCAAGCCUGGAGAUUGCGUGAUAGUCCGGAUAGUUUAUGCGCCCGGUUACCCCGGGCCAAAUAUUACCCCAAAGGUAACUUGCUUGAUACAGUCUUUCCUUCUAGUUUGUCGGCUGUGUGGAAGGGCAUCAUGCAUGGGCUUGAUUUGUUG